rnacentral:lncRNA from 1 species
AAGUGAGUCUGAGAGAACUCUUUAAUGGUCUAGCUGAAGAAGCCAAGGGGAGGGGUGUGACAAAGAGUGUGAUUUGUCACCAAAUCCACCUGGACAGGUUCCAAUGAAGGAGGGAGUAACAACAUGGAUAGCUACCAAAACCUCAGUAAAAUGUAUUAAUGUUCUUUCGUGAGAUGACUCUAAGUGGGAGAUCAUGGCAGGCUAUAGUAAAAAUAACGGUGUCAACACUGGCCUUCUAUAGGUCGAGACAUAAAAGUGAAAUGAAGGUAAAACCACCAAGAUUCACCUAUGAAAGGACGGGGUGGUACCUACUCUCUCCAGACACCAACCCAGAUCUCUGCCACCGGGGAGCCUUCAUGUCUACACUGCCGCUGGCUUAGAGAAGCUGGUUCUGAGGAAGCCAUUCCCCCUGCCCCACAUGCCCUCUUGUAAGCACUGGCUCCUAGGAAUGGCGCUCAUAGGCAUUUCCCCCUAACACUGCUGAAACACAACCUCUUACAUAAGUGAACCCCCCAUUCAGUGGACUCAUUUG